ensembl:lncRNA
GGGCACUCGAGGGGGCGGCCCCUCUCCAGAUUCUCUAGAGCUGUUCCUCCUCCCACCCCGGCGCGCCGCCGUCCUCGCUGCCCGCGGAAAACAGGCCUCUCCGUCCGCCCCGCGCACCUCGCAGGGCCCAAGGCUGGCGGUCAAGCCUGGGACUCGGUCACGCCUCCCUGGUCUGUAGCCCGGGGUCAAGGGAGGGGACCCGCCAGACCCUGGAACAGCCCCCUCGGACAGGCCCACUUUCCUGAAGCAAUUUCUCCUCGCAAUGCGCGGUGUCUUCCCCCAAACUCCGUGGGGCUCACAGGAUGUCAUCUCUAGGCCAGCGGGCUCUGAUCCGGAAAGUGAGAAGAAAAUUUUAACCCACCUGUCCGGUGCUGGGCAAAGGAAAGCAGGAACUGAAUGGACUUGCAGGAAGCUGACCCCGCCUUGUAAACCAACAGCACCCUAUGACCCUGUGGCCUGGAAGGAGGCAUUUGAGGGCCUGCUGGUCUAUAAGAUGGAGAACAAAAGAGACUCUAUGGGAACACGAUUUUCACAGCAAAUAACAGUCACAGUUGUCCUGCUCAGCUCAUCUGUACACACUCCACGAUCCAGUCCUGAGUUGUUCGGCUCCAGAAAGGCUUCCUUUAAACUAUGAUACGUGGUCAUACCUCUCAGCGGAUUCAUCACUAUUAAAAUAUUCUGAGCCUG